AGAGUUUGAUCCUGGCUCANAACGAACGCUGGCGGCGUGCCUAACACAUGCAAGUCGAACGAGAAAGGGACUUCGGUCCUGAGUAGAGUGGCGCACGGGUGANUAACACGUGGAUAAUCUGCCUGAUAAUCUGGGAUANCACCACGAANGAGGUGCUAAUACCGGAUAAGCCCACANNCUUUUCGGAGGCAGCGGNAAAAGAUGGCCUCUUCUUGAAAGCUAUUGUUAUNAGAUGAGUCCGCGGUCCAUUAGCUAGUUGGGAGGGUAAUGGCCUACCAAGGCUACGAUGGAUAGCUGGUUUGAGAGAAUGAUCANCCACACUGNAACUGAGACACGGUCCAUACUCCUACGGGAGGCAGCAGUGGGGAAUUUUGCGCAAUGGGGGAAACCCUGACGCACAACGCCGGGUGAGUGAUGAAAGUUUUCGGAUCGUAAAGCUUUUGUCAAGAAGGAAAAAACCUCCAAUGGCUAAUACCUGGUGGAAUUGACCGUCCUNUNAANGAACACCGGNUUACUUCGUGCCAGCAGCCGGAAUAAUACAAGGGCGAAUUUUUUUNAACCUGNAGGACUUGUNCCUUUAANGNNGGGUUAAAUUNU
rnacentral:rRNA from 1 species